CACAGAGGUCCCAAGCGUUGUUCGGAUUUACUGGGCGUAAAGGGUGCGUAGGUGGUUGGGUAAGUCUGAUGUGAAAUCUCCGGGCUCAACCCGGAAAUGGCAUUGGAUACUAUUUGACUAGAGGGUUGGAGGGGGGACUGGAAUACUUGGUGUAGCAGUGAAAUGCGUAGAUAUCAAGUGGAACACCAGUGGCGAAGGCGAGUCCCUGGACAACUCCUGACACUGAGGCACGAAAGCUAGGGGAGCAAACAGG
rnacentral:rRNA from 1 species